UGGAACCUAUAAACAUCAAAUAGCAAGACAAUAUUUUAAUACGCUCGUACCUAUUAUCUUUACGAGCUCUGCGAGCUGCAGUCCUCAGUACGAGACGAGACGCUGCGACGUAAAUCACCGUACUGACCUUGAAGACUUCCGGAUGAAGUCGAUGAUUACAUCAACAAUAUUAAACAUAGUUGAAAACCGGAAGUGAUCACUGAACAGCAAUAGACACAUUGAACCAAAAUAUUACGUUGGAAAGGUUUCGUUUGAUAAAAUCUACGCUCCGAUCUUCAUAUGUCCUUAUCGAAUACCUCCAAAGAAACAAUGGACGAUAGCAACAAUAAGCCAUUAACUAUCCACUGCUGGACGUAAUCCUUCCCCAUAAGGGGAGUUCUGCCAGUAAUUGACAUGCUUGGCAGGCAGCUCAAAAAGCUUUUAGAAAUGUUUUAAAAGGAACGCUGCUGCCCAUCCCUCGCCCUCCCUUAGUCGCCUCUUAUGACACUCACGGGAAAGGUAGAGGAGGCCUAUUCUGUGCCGAGCACACACGACGAUUUAUCUAUAAUGUAACAAAAAAGAUCCUGAAUAUGGGAAAAAUGAACGAACAAUAUUUUGGUUUAUUUUUUGAUAAAAACUUCAAAUGAAAUUAUAUACUAGUUUCCUCUUAUAGGAAUCCGCACUUAUUAGCGGAAUAUUAUUAAUGGUUUGUGUUGAUAAUGAUGAUGAUAUUUAAUAUUUAAUGAUGACAUAUCACAAGUAUAUAACCAUCACCAUACUAUCAAUAUAAACUUACCAUCCAGUAAGUCAAAAUUAUCGCUGACAUCUAAUUGUUGUAAUUUUGGAUGAGGGUUCUUAACAGGAAAUGGCGUGAUGUAUGUAACCUGAAUAGAAAGGGGAAAGGGAUUGUUAGUAAUUCGGACUACCAGUCCCAUUGCUAGCAGUAUACCCUGUCAAGUCGACCUCUACGUGAUUCCCCCUGGAAACCAUCGUGCUGAAUUCCAGAUGUAUUAUAAUAUCAUGAUGAGCUAACUUACUUGCUUUUUCAUUCUCACCUACCAUCCCUUACUGGUGCCCCGCCAGCGUAUAUUAUUAGCGCAGGCGGGGCUAUCAUUCCAUUAUCAUCCAUUAAAAACCACAUAAAUAGAAAUGACAUAAGCAUUAAGUAUCAUAAUUUAGUAAUAUCGGCUUUAUGUAUUUGUAUAUCUUCAUACACACGGGAUUUCUGUAUAUUGAGGUUAAAUAUUAAUAUUAUCGAUAUAAAUAAUUAUAAUAGUAAUAAUAAAUUAGUAGUAGUAAUAGAGUGGUAAUGGUAGUUUUAGUAAUAGUGGUAGUAAGAGUAAUACCUACUACCACCAAUACUUCUGCCACCUGUAAACUCUUACUAUCAGAGAACAUCAUCCUCACGAACCUCUGACAAGAUACCUCUUUACAUUUUCAUAAUAUAUUUUUUUCCUUUGUGACAUAUAAAUUCGAAAUAAUAAAUAAGAAAACAGAACGUGGUAUAAUUUCUGCAGUAGUAGAAGAGGUUAUGGUAAUGGUAGUGGUAGUAGAAAUAGUAAUAAUAUUUAUAGUAGUUAUUAUUGUUGUUCCAACAUUUGAUAAUUGUUAUCUCGACAAGUAAGGUCAGUUAAUGUAUUAUAAUAAUAAAAAUAAAAGUUUUAAUUAUC